rnacentral:lncRNA from 1 species
AUGAUGUGCAAAGAAAAUCCUCCAGUGUAUGUUUUGCAUAAGGAGACACUGCAUGAUCAACACCUGCAGAGAAUGUCAUAUGUCCACAGGCUCCAGUGUCAGGAACGGUCACAGACAGUCAUUUGCUGUACUGGGUUGCUAACCGACGUCCAGAAACCUCUGUCAAGGACACAGUAUUGUCGGUUACAUUCCGAAACCCUGAGUUCUCAAAA